UACGGAGGGUGCGAGCGUUGUCCGGAAUCACUGGGCGUAAAGGGCGCGUAGGCGGUCUGUUAAGCGUGUGGUGAAAGCUCGGGGCUCAACCCCGAGUCUGCCAUGCGAACUGGUGGACUUGAGCACUGUAGAGGGUAGUGGAAUUUCCGGUGUAGCGGUGAAAUGCGUAGAGAUCGGAAGGAACACCAGUGGCGAAGGCGGCUACCUGGACAAAUACUGACGCUGAGGCGCGAAAGCGUGGGGAUCAAACAGG
rnacentral:rRNA from 1 species